GACGAACGCUGGCGGCGUGCUUAACACAUGCAAGUCGAACGGAGAGGCCCUGCUUUUGUGGGGUGCGCUGGGUGCGGACGGGGGAGUAACACGUGAGUAACCUGCCCUUGAUGUUGGGAGAACUUCAUAAAGCUGGGGCUAGUACCGGAUAGGAGCUCCUGCUGCAUGGUGGGGGUGGGAAAGUUUCGGCGGUUGGGGAUGGACUCGCGUCUUAUUAGGUUGUUGGUUGGGUGGUGGAUUACCAAGCCUUGGACGGGUGGCAGGCCUGAGAGGGUGACAGGACCAACUACGCUUGGGCUGCGGCCCAGACUCCUCUGGGAGGGAGGAGAGGGGAAUAUUGCACAAUGGGCGGAAGGCUGAUGCAGCAAAGCCGCGCCGGGGAUGACGGCAUUCGGCUUGUAAACCGCUUCCCCCUGUGACGAAGAGUGAGUGACGGUAAUGGGUAAAGAAGCCCCGGCUAACUACGUG
rnacentral:rRNA from 1 species